CCUACGGGAGGCAGCAGUGAGGAAUAUUGGUCAAUGGGCGAGAGCCUGAACCAGCCAAGUAGCGUGAAGGAUGACUGCCCUAUGGGUUGUAAACUUCUUUUAUAUGGGAAUAAAAUGAUCCACGUGUGGCUUUUUGUAUGUACCCUAUGAAUAAGGAUCGGCUAACUCCGUGCCAGCAGCCGCGGUAAUACGGAGGAUCCGAGCGUUAUCCGGAUUUAUUGGGUUUAAAGGGAGCGUAGGUGGGUUGUUAAGUCAGUUGUGAAAGUUUGCGGCUCAACCGUAAAAUUGCAAUUGAUACUGGCAGUCUUGAGUACAGUAGAGGUAGGCGGAAUGCGUGGUGUAGCGGUGAAAUGCUUAGAUAUCACGAAGAACUCCGAUUGCGAAGGCAGCUUACUAGACUGCAACUGACACUGAGGCUCGAAAGUGUGGGUAUCAAACAGGAUUAGAUACCCCAGUAGUC
rnacentral:rRNA from 1 species